AAGGGGCGCGACCAAUCAGUGAAUUGAUUGAAGAAAUCACAUUCCACCUCCAUCUAACACAUCACCGUUCGGUACAACUUAACCUUACCUCUUAGUGUCAAAGAAAUAUACGGUACUUUACGAAAAAUGUUGUUAUACUUAAUUUUGGCACUGUUUGCAAAUAUUAAUUUUGUGUCCGCCUCAAAUGGAUUUGAUUUUGGCGACACGUUAGCUCUUAUUUUGGGGCUAUUCAUCAGCAUAAUGGGAUUUUUCGCCUGUAUGGGUGCUUAUGCACGUAAAAAAAGUCUCGACACUCUUUAGAUCUACUCAAGAUGAAAAUGCGUAAUUAUUUGUCUGGAGAUGCGCUAAUUAAAUUAACCUGAAUCGGCUAAUGCGAUGUCGGUAAAAUGAUAUAUAAAUUUCGUGAACGCGGCUAUUGUGUUAUAAUCUGGGAUAACUUAUUCUGAAACUUUUUAAACUGAUCGCGUGUACGUUUCAUGACCGUUUCUUGCAAGAAAAAUUAUGAAAAGUAUGAACCGAUUAAGUUCUGAGAAUUUUAGUUAGAACGUUUUGUAAAAAUUUAUAUAUUGUAACAUUCUUACAUUUCUUACUGAUUUUGAUUGCAUCAGCCCAAUUUAACUACCACAAUAGGAAUAAGAUAACUUGAUAUAUAGAUGAAUAACACAAAAGAAGUGUGUAAAUAUAUAUUGCUUAAGGAAAUAAAAAUUAAACUUUGUAUAUUGUGAAAAGAAAUAAAUAUAAAUCUAAAUGUACACAUACACGUUGAAAAAACACCUUUCAAUAUUUUCUCUACUGUGAUCUCAAAAUUUAUUUAUUCAAUUAUUAUUCACGCUGCAGUUAUGACUGUUUCGAUUUCACAUUUUUUUAGCAGAGAUACUUUUUAUUAUAGCAUACUUGUAAAAGUACACCUGUUACAACAGUACAAUGUUAUAAUGUAACUCGAGCCCUUGUUUAAAUCCAUUUUACAAUAAUUCGUAGUCUAAGGACUUGUAAUCUGUGGUAGUAGACAGGGCAUAAAGAUAAAAUACAAGAAGUACUUCAUAGUAAACAAGAACUAUGAUUUGAGAAACUGACUUGACUGUAUGUUCAAAAACAAGUUACCUAAACC
rnacentral:lncRNA from 1 species